UACGGAGGAUGCAAGCGUUAUCCGGAAUGAUUGGGCGUAAGGCGUCCGCAGGUGGCAAUGUAAGUCUGCUGUCAAAGCGUCUGGCUCAACCAGAUAAAGGCAGUGGAAACUACAUAGCUAGAGUAAGGUAGGGGUAGAGGGAAUUCCUGGUGUAGCGGUGAAAUGCGUAGAGAUCAGGAAGAACACCGGUGGCGAAAGCGCUCUGCUGGACCUUAACUGACACUGAGGGACGAAAGCUAGGGGAGCGAAUGGG
rnacentral:rRNA from 1 species